rnacentral:rRNA from 1 species
GAUGAACGCUGGCGGCGUGCUUAACACAUGCAAGUCGAACGGGAAACCUUUUAAUGAAGCUUCGGCAGAUUUAGCUGGUUUCUAGUGGCGGACGGGUGAGUAACGCGUGGGUAACCUGCCUUAUACAGGGGGAUAACAGUCAGAAAUGACUGCUAAUACCGCAUAAGCGCACAGGACCGCAUGGUCCGGUGUGAAAAACUCCGGUGGUAUAAGAUGGACCCGCGUUGGAUUAGCUUGUUGGUGGGGUAACGGCUCACCAAGGCGACGAUCCAUAGCCGGCCUGAGAGGGUGAAAGGCCACAUUGGGACUGAGACACGGCCCAGACUCCUACGGGAGGCAGCAGUGGGGAAUAUUGCACAAUGGGGGAAACCCUGAUGCAGCGACGCCGCGUGAAGGAAGAAGUAUCUCGGUAUGUAAACUUCUAUCAGCAGGGAAGAUAGUGACGGUACCUGACGAAGAAGCCCCGGCUAACUACGUG